rnacentral:rRNA from 1 species
GACGAACGCUGGCGGCGUGCUUAACACAUGCAAGUCGAGCGGGAUCCAACCGGUGGCAACACCGGGGAAGAUCUAGCGGCGAACGGGUGAGUAACACGUGAGCAACCUGCCCCGAAGACUGGGAGUAACACCGGGAAACCGGUGCUAAUACCGGAUGUCGUCAUUAGGCCGCAUGACCUGAUGAUGAAAGGAAUUCAUCGCUUCGGGAGGGGCUCGCGGGCUAUCAGCUUGNGGUUGGGGUAACGGGCCUACCAAGGCGACGACGGCUAGCUGGUCUGAGAGGACGACCAGCCACACUGGGACUGAGACACGGCCCAGACUCCUACGGGAGGCAGCAGUGGGGAAUCUUGCGCAAUGGGCGAAAGCCUGACGCAGCAACGCCGCGUGGGGGAUGAAUG